rnacentral:rRNA from 1 species
UACGUAGGUCCCGAGCGUUGUCCGGAUUUAUUGGGCGUAAAGCGAGCGCAGGUGGUUUAAUAAGUCUGAUGUAAAAGGCAGUGGCUCAACCAUUGUGUGCAUUGGAAACUGUUAGACUUGAGUGCAGAAGGGGAGAGUGGAAUUCCAUGUGUAGCGGUGAAAUGCGUAGAUAUAUGGAGGAACACCGGUGGCGAAAGCGGCUCUCUGGACUGUCACUGACACUGAGGCUCGAAAGCGUGGGUAGCAAACAGG